UACGAAGGGGGCUAGCGUUGUUCGGAAUUACUGGGCGUAAAGCGCACGUAGGCGGAUUGUUUAGUGAGGGGUGAAAUCCCAGGGCUCAACCCCUGGAACUGCCUCUCAUACUGGCAAUCUCGAGUUCGAGAGAGGUGAGUGGAAUUCCGAGUGUAGAGGUGAAAUUCGUAGAUAUUCGGAGGAACACCAGUGGCGAAGGCGGCUCACUGGCUCGAUACUGACGCUGAGGUGUGAAAGCGUGGGGAGCAAACAGGAUUAGAUACCCU
rnacentral:rRNA from 1 species